rnacentral:ncRNA from 1 species
GGAUAGAGGCGCGGUUGUCAAGAGUACCGCGGAUGUUAAAGGCUUCGCACAGCCGUUGUCCGCAGGAAAGGGACCAUCGCCGAAGGUGGGUUACAGCGUACCCCUGCCUGGGCAGACGGAGAAUAUCCGUCUGACUGUCGCAUUCUGCGGAGAGCUAUGUA